CAAAACAUGUGUAAAUAUGUGUGAAGUGCACGUGGCGGCAUCUGCUGGCAGUCUUUUUAAAGUCCAUCCUCCCACUCUUCGUUUUUUUUCCCAGUCUUUCUUGCAAUAGAUGUGGUCAUACAAUUAAGUUCCAGCCAAUGAGACUUGAGUGGAAGUAAGAUGAAAUCUCUGUGGCGUGCCUUUAAAAGGAUAGGGAAAUAUCCUUUCUGUAAAUCUUUUCUUCUCUCCGGCUGCCUAGAAUAUACACAAAAUGACAAGAGUUCCAGCUCUUCCUGAUACCACGAGCAGCCUUGGAAAUGGAAACCAUGCAUGCAGGAUGAAAACAGGCUAAUACAUAUGCUGCUUCCCUGCGCCUUCCACCAUGAUUGUAAGCUUCCUGAGGUCUCAACAGAAGCCAAGAUGUUGGUGCCAUACUUGUGCAGCCUGCAGAACUGUGAACCAAUUAAACCUCUUUUAUUUAUAAAUUAC
rnacentral:lncRNA from 1 species